rnacentral:rRNA from 1 species
UACGGAGGGAGCUAGCGUUGUUCGGAAUUACUGGGCGUAAAGCGUACGUAGGCGGUUAAUUCAAGUCAGAGGUGAAAGCCCGGGGCUCAACCCCGGAACGGCCUUUGAAACUAGAUAGCUAGAAUCUUGGAGAGGUCAGUGGAAUUCCGAGUGUAGAGGUGAAAUUCGUAGAUAUUCGGAAGAACACCAGUGGCGAAGGCGACUGACUGGACAAGUAUUGACGCUGAGGUACGAAAGCGUGGGGAGCAAACAGGG